rnacentral:rRNA from 1 species
ACCCUACGGGGCGCAGCAGUAGGGAAUCUUCCACAAUGGACGAAAGUCUGAUGGAGCAACGCCGCGUGAGUGAAGAAGGGUUUCGGCUCGUAAAGCUCUGUUGGUAGUGAAGAAAGAUAGAGGUAGUAACUGGCCUUUAUUUGACGGUAAUUACUUAGAAAGUCACGGCUAACUACGUGCCAGCAGCCGCGGUAAUACGUAGGUGGCAAGCGUUGUCCGGAUUUAUUGGGCGUAAAGCGAGUGCAGGCGGUUUCAAUAGUCUGAUGUGGAAACCUUCUG